rnacentral:rRNA from 1 species
GUAGGGGGCAAGCGUUGUCCGGAAUUAUUGGGCGUAAAGCGCGCGCAGGCGGUCAUUUAAGUCUGGUGUUUAAUCCCGGGGCUCAACCCCGGAUCGCACUGGAAACUGGGUGACUUGAGUGCAGAAGAGGAGAGUGGAAUUCCACGUGUAGCGGUGAAAUGCGUAGAUAUGUGGAGGAACACCAGUGGCGAAGGCGACUCUCUGGGCUGUAACUGACGCUGAGGCGCGAAAGCGUGGGGAGCAAACAGGAUUAGAUACCCUGGUAGUCCACGCCGUAAACGAUGAGUGCUAGGUGUUAGGGGUUUCGAUACCCUUGGUGCCGAAGUUAACACAUUAAGCACUCCGCCUGGGGAGUACGGUCGCAAG